rnacentral:rRNA from 1 species
AUUGAACGCUGGCGGCAGGCCUAACACAUGCAAGUCGAACGGUAACAGGAAGAAUCUUGCUUCUUUGCUGACGAGUGGCGGACGGGUGAGUAAUGUCCGGGAAACUGCCUGAUGGAGGGGGAUAACUACUGGAAACGGUAGCUAAUACCGCAUAACGUCGCAAGACCAAAGAGGGGGACCUUCGGGCCUCUCGCCAUCGGAUGUGCCCAGAUGUCAUUAGCUAGUAGGUGGGGUAACGGCUCACCUAGGCGACGAUCCCUAGCUGGUCUGAGAGGAUGACCAGCCACCCUGGAAGUGAGACACGGUCCAGACUCCUACGGGAGGCAGCGGUGGGGAAUAUUGCACAAUGGGGGAAAGCCUGAUGCAGCAAUGCGGCGUGUAUGAAGAAGGCCUUCGGGUUGUAAAAUACUUUCAGCGGGGAGGAAGGGAGUAAAGUUAAUACCUUGGCUCAUUGACGUUACCCGAAGAAGAAGCACCGGCUAACUCCGUG